UGACAGUAUCCUACGGGGAGGCAGCAGUGGGGGAAUAUUGCACAAUGGGCGCAAGCCUGAUGCAGCCAUGCCGCGUGUGUGAAGAAGGACCUUCGGGUUGUUAAAGCACUUUCAGUCGUGAGGAAGGUGGUAGUGUUAAUAGCACUAUCAUUUGACGUUAGCGACAGAAGAAGCACCGGCUAACUCCGUGCCAGCAGCCGCGGUAAUACGGAGGGUGCGAGCGUUAAUCGGAAUUACUGGGCGUAAAGCGCAUGCAGGUGGUUUGUUAAGUCAGAUGUGAAAGCCCGGGGCUCAACCUCGGAAUAGCAUUUGAAACUGGCAGACUAGAGUACUGUAGAGGGGGGUAGGAAUUUCAGGUGUAGCGGUGAAAUGCGUAGAGAUCUGAAGGAAUACCGGUGGCGAAGGCGGCCCCCUGGACAGAUACUGACACUCAGAUGCGAAAGCGUGGGGAGCAAACAGGAUUAGAUACCCUGGUAG
rnacentral:rRNA from 1 species